rnacentral:tRNA from 1 species
UUGGCUCAGAGAUUAGAGCAUCACAUUUGUAAUGUGAUGAUCAUUGGUUCGAUUCCGAUA